AUUGAACGCUGGCGGCAGGCUUAACACAUGCAAGUCGAGCGGGGUGAUGGUGCUUGCACUAUCACUUAGCGGCGGACGGGUGAGUAAUGCUUAGGAAUCUGCCUAUUAGUGGGGGACAACAUCUCGAAAGGGAUGCUAAUACCGCAUACGGCCUACGGGAGAAAUCAGGGGAUCACUUGUGACCUUGCGCUAAUAGAUGAGCCUAAGUCGGAUUGGCUAGUUGGUGGGGUAAAGGCCUACCAAGGCGACGAUCUGUAGCGGUUCUGAGAGGAUGAUCCGCCACACUGGGACUGAGACACGGCCCAGACUCCUACGGGAGGCAGCAGUGGGGAAUAUUGGACAAUGGGGGGAACCCUGAUCCAGCCAUGCCGCGUGUGUGAAGAAGGCCUUAUGGUUGUAAAGCACUUUAAGCGAGGAGGAGGCUCUUUUGGUUAAUACCCAAGAUGAGUGGACGUUACUCGCAGAAUAAGCACCGGCUAACUCUGUGCCAGCCGCCGCGGUAA
rnacentral:rRNA from 1 species